GAUGAACGCUGGCGGCGUGCCUAAUACAUGCAAGUCGAGCGAACGGACGAGAAGCUUGCUUCUCUGAUGUUAGCGGCGGACGGGUGAGUAACACGUGGAUAACCUACCUAUAAGACUGGGAUAACUUCGGGAAACCGGAGCUAAUACCGGAUGAUAUUUUGAACCGCAUGGUUCAAAAGUGAAAGACGGUCUUGCUGUCACUUAUAGAUGGAUCCGCGCUGCAUUAGCUAGUUGGUAAGGUAACGGCUUACCAAGGCAACGAUGCAUAGCCGACCUGAGAGGGUGAUCGGCCACACUGGAACUGAGACACGGUCCAGACUCCUACGGGAGGCAGCAGUAGGGAAUCCUCCGCAAAGGGCGAAAGCCUGACGGAGCAACGCCGCGUGAGUGAUGAAGGUCUUCGGAUCGUAAAACUCUGUUAUUAGGGAAGAACAUAUGUGUAAGUAACUGUGCACAUCUUGACGGUACCUAAUCAGAAAGCCACGGCUAACUACGUG
rnacentral:rRNA from 1 species